rnacentral:rRNA from 1 species
CUGACUGCUAUCGGAUUGGUACUAAGCCAUGUGAGUCAUUGUAGCAAUACAAGGCAGACGGCUCAGUAACACGUAGUCAAUCUAACCUAUGGACGGGGAUAACCUCGGGAAACUGAGGAUAAACCCCGAUAGAUCAUAAUGCCUGGAACGGUUUAUGGUCCAAAUGAUUUGUCGCCGUAGGAUGGGACUGCGGCCUAUCAGCUUGUUGGUGAGGUAAUGGCCCACCAAGGCUAUUACAGGUACGGGCUCUGGGAGGAGAAGCCCGGAGAUGGGUACUGAGACACGGACCCAGGCCCUAUGGGGCGCAGCAGGCGAGAAACCUUUGCAAUGUGCGCAAGCACGACAAGGUUAAUCCGAGUGUUUCCUGCUAAAGGAAUCUUUUGCUAGUUUUAAAAUCACUAUUGAAUAAGGGGUGGGCAAGUUCUGGUGUCAGCCGCCGCGGUAAAACCAGCACCUCAAGUGGUCAGGAUGAUUAUUGGGCCUAAAGCAUCCGUAGCCGGCUAUGUAAGUUUUCGGUUAAAUCUAUAUGCUCAACAUAUAGGCUGCCGGGAAUACUGUAUAGCUAGGGAGUGGGAGAGGUAGAUGGUACUCGGUAGGAAGGGGUAAAAUCCUUUGACCUAUUGAUGACCACCUGUGGCGAAGGCGGUCUACUAGAACACGUUCGACGGUGAGGGAUGAAAGCUGGGGGAGCAAACCAGAUUAGAUACCCGGGUAGUCCCAGCUGUAAACUAUGCAAACUCAGUGAUGCACUGGCUUGUGGCCAGUGCAGUGCCGCAGGGAAGCCGUUAAGUUUGCCGCCUGGGAAGUACGUACGCAAGUAUGAAACUUAAAGGAAUUGGCGGGGAGCACCACAAGGG